UAGAAAUUAGCCUGUGAGAUCAAGAUGCAGAUAUAUCCACCAGAUACCAAAUGCCACACCAAAGCAGACAUUUUCAAAUGUUGAGAGACCUAUGAAUACAUCUACAUCCUUCUUUGGACUUUGAAACAACUGAUUGAGUAUGUUAGCUAACAUUUAAUCAAUUAUGUUUGAACAGUGCUACACAACAGCCUGGGUGGAUUUUGCUUUUUCCACCGGCCCACUCCAGCUAUAAUCUCUUUUUUGUUAAAAUAUUGAUAUCUAAUGCUUAUCUGUUUUUUUUUCAAUUGAUUGUACUUGCAAGUCUUUUGAUUAAACAAAAGAAAUUGCAUGCCCACUCCUAUGGGUGGGCAGAGUUGACAAGCUAGAAAGUUUGCCCACUCCCACUGUGGACGGGUGGACAAAGCAAAAUCCACCUGAGCUGUAGUGUAUAUUUGAAAGUCAAUGACUUCUAUUAAAAAAAAGAAAAAAGAAAUCUAGAACUUUACAAUCUUUUUUUAAUACCCCUAUUUAUAUACAAAAGAAGAUGUCAUAUGAUUGCCAAAGAUACAACUCUCCACAAGAAACCAAGUGACACAGAAAUUAACAGCUACAGGUCAUUGUAAGGCCUUCAACAAUGAGCAAAGCCCAUACCGCAUAUUCAGCUAUAAAAGGCACUGAAAUGACAAAUGAAAUAUUAUGCAUGGUGGGGGUGAAAUAAAAAGUGUCUUCUGACCCCUGAUCCCCCUACAUUUAUUUCUGGAACAUCCCUCAGUGUUGCAACACAUAAACACAUUUGGUAGUCAGAUUGCUUUCAACCAUAUACUAUAGUGAUAGUUUUCUUCUUCAGAAUGCUAAAUUUAAAAGUUUUAAUUAAUUUGUGAUGAAUUUUCUUUUUUACUUCCAGUUAGGCAAGAUGUUAUCUCUCAUAUCAAAGAGAUAGAAUAUGAAACUGGCAGCCAGUAUUGAUAUAAUGUGGUACUAAAAGCUCCAAUACCAUCAGGGGCUGAAGACAUAACAGGAAUUGUGUGGGAUUUGACCAACCUUAGACUAAAGAGAAAAGUUGUUGCUGCAUUACAGAUAUUUUGAACUCAGCAAUUUUUAUUAAUGUUUUUAAUGUUAAUUCUCUCUCUUAUGAAUAAUAUGAUAUCUAUACUUGCAAUGAGCAUGAAUUGAAAGUUCCUCAUGUCUGUAAAACUGUUUUCCCUUGACAUUGACCACAUUUCAUGGAUCGGUGAAAAAAGUUAUGUACCCAUGGUCAAGUCCAUGUAUCAGAUUCAAAAAGCAAUAGGUCUGCUUAAUUUGGUAUACUGUAUGAUUGAUCCUGAUCUCAUUGUCAUGCUUUAUUGAUCAAUGUUAAUAUUCAAAAGAUUUAAUAUUGAUUGUACAUUGUAUAUAUAGAUAUGAUAAUAUUUAUUUGUAUCCUUUGAACCAUCAUGACCAU
rnacentral:lncRNA from 1 species